UUGUUUUGAUAAAUCUAUUACAGUUUUUCUCAAAUGCUAAAACACAUUUCACAAACGUUUCAUCCAUGUUCUUCAAUGUCUAAACACAACACCCUUUUCUAAAGCUACAUAAACACAACCACACCUUCUCCCUUCAAAACUCAAACUUUCACACCAAAAGAGCAGCUCGAAGCUUUCAAAAAUGUAAACACUAUACACAUCAUUACACACUACAGCAAAACAAUUGAAAACACAAUGCUCAAUUUAUGAGAAGGUUCUUUGUUUCUUUACUGCCAAUGCAUAUUUUUAGAAACUUUACAAUUAUGGAUCUUCUUAGAGUUCUGCAGAGGAUUGGGCAUUUAGA